rnacentral:rRNA from 1 species
CCUACGGGAGGCAGCAGUGAGGAAUAUUGGUCAAUGGGCGCGAGCCUGAACCAGCCAAGUAGCGUGAGGGAGGACGGCCCUACGGGUUGUAAACCUCUUUUGCCGGGGAGCAACGGGCACCACGUGUGGCGUCACUGAGAGUACCCGGAGAAAAAGCAUCGGCUAACUCCGUGCCAGCAGCCGCGGUAAUACGGAGGAUGCGAGCGUUAUCCGGAUUUAUUGGGUUUAAAGGGUGCGUAGGCGGAUCGUUAAGUCAGUGGUCAAAUUGAGGGGCCCAACCCCUUCCCGCCAUUGAAACUGGCGUUCUUGAGUGGAAGAGAAGUAUGCGGAAUGCGUGGUGUGGCGGUGAAAUGCAUAGAUAUCACGCAGAACCCCGAUUGCGAGGGCAGCAUGCCGGCUUCCGACUGACGCUGACGCACGAAGGCGUGGGGUUCGAACGGGAUUGGUUACCCCUGUGGU